GACGAACGCUGGCGGCGUGCUUAACACAUGCAAGUCGAACGGAAAGGCCCUGCUUUUGUUGGGUGCUCGAGUGGCGAACGGGUGAGUAACACGUUAGUAACCUGCCCUUGACUUUGUUAUAACUUCAGGAAACUGGGGCUAAUACCGGAUAGGAGCUCCUGCUGCAUGGUGGGGGUUGGAAAGUUUCGGCGGUUGGGGAUGGACUCGCGGCUUAUCAGCUUGUUGGUGGGGUAGUGGCUUACCAAGGCUUUGACGGGUAGCCGGCCUGAGAGGGUGACCGGCCACAGUGGGAAAGAGAUACGGCCCAGAGUCCUAAGGGAGGCAGCAGUGGGGAAUAAUGCACGAUGGGCGGAAGCCGGAUGCAGCAACGCCGCGUGAGGGAUGACGGACUUCGGGUUGUAAACCGCUUACGCAGGGGACGAAGCGUGAGUGAAGGUAAUGUGUAAAGAAGCACCGGCUAACUACGUG
rnacentral:rRNA from 1 species